GGAGGCGUGGCUGAGCGGUCGAAAGCAGCACACUGCUAAUGUGUUGACCGGGAAACCGGUCCGCAGGUUCGAAUCCUGCCGCCUCCG
rnacentral:tRNA from 1 species